UACGUAGGGUGCGAGCGUUGUCCGGAAUUAUUGGGCGUAAAGAGCUCGUAGGCGGUGUGUCGCGUCGGCCGUGAAAACCUGGGGCUCAACUCUGGGCGUGCGGUCGAUACGGGCAUCACUUGAGUUCGGCAGGGGAGACUGGAAUUCUCGGUGUAGCAGUGAAAUGCGUAGAUAUCGAGAGGAACACCAGUGGCGAAGGCGAGUCUCUGGACGACUCCUGACACUGAGGCACGAAAGCUAGGGGAGCAAACAGG
rnacentral:rRNA from 1 species